GGUUCCAUAGCUCAGUUGGUCUAGAGCGUCAGCCUAAUAAGCUGAAGGUCGAGGGUUCGAUCCCCUUUGGGACCA